AUUGAACGCUAGCGGCAUGCCUAACACAUGCAAGUCGAACGAGUGGCGGACGGGUGAGUAAUGUCUGGGAACCUGCCUAGUGGCGGGGGAUAACUACUGGAAACGGUGGCUAAUACCGCAUACCAUCAGAUCGGCCGAUAUGGGAUUAGCUGGUUGGUGGGGUAACGGCUCACCAAGGCCACGAUCCCUAGCUGGUCUGAGAGGAUGACCAGCCACACUGGAACUGAGACACGGCCCAGACUCCUACGGGAGGCAGCAGUGGGGAAUAUUGGACAAUGGGGGAAAGCCUGAUGCAGCCAUGCCGCGUGUAUGAAGAAGGCCUUCGGGUUGUAAAGUACUUUUAGCGGGGAGGCGGUAUCCGCAGAAGAAGCACCGGCUAACUACGUGCCAGCAGCCGCGGUAAUUC
rnacentral:rRNA from 1 species